rnacentral:rRNA from 1 species
CACGCCGUAAACGAUGUCGACUAGCCGUUGGGACCUUUAAGGACUUAGUGGCGCAGUUAACGCGAUAAGUCGACCGCCUGGGGAGUACGGCCGCAAGGUUAAAACUCAAAUGAAUUGACGGGGGCCCGCACAAGCGGUGGAGCAUGUGGUUUAAUUCGAUGCAACGCGAAGAACCUUACCUACCCUUGACAUCCAGAGAACUUGGCAGAGAUGCCUUGGUGCCUUCGGGAGCUCUGAGACAGGUGCUGCAUGGCUGUCGUCAGCUCGUGUUGUGAAAUGUUGGGUUAAGUCCCGUAACGAGCGCAACCCUUGUCCUUAUUUGCCAGCACGUAAAGGUGGGAACUCUAAGGAGACUGCCGGUGACAAACCGGAGGAAGGUGGGGACGACGUCAAGUCAUCAUGGCCCUUACGGGUAGGGCUACACACGUGCUACAAUGGCCGGUACAAAGGGUUGCGAAGCGGCGACGUGGAGCGAAUCCCAGAAAGCCGGCCUCAGUCCGGAUCGGAGUCUGCAACUCGACUCCGUGAAGUCGGAAUCGCUAGUAAUCGUGAAUCAGAAUGCACGAAUGGCC